AACGCUGGCGGCGUGCCUAAUACAUGCAAGUCGAGCGGAACCAUUGGAGCUUGCUCCAUCGGUUUAGCGGCGGACGGGUGAGUAACACGUGGGCAACCUGCCCUGCAGAUCGGGAUAACUCCGGGAAACCGGUGCUAAUACCGAAUAGUUUUUUGCCCCUCCUGGGGCGGCACGGAAAGACGGUUUCGGCUGUCACUGCAGGAUGGGCCCGCGGCGCAUUAGCUAGUUGGUGGGGUAAUGGCCCACCAAGGCGACGAUGCGUAGCCGACCUGAGAGGGUGAUCGGCCACACUGGGACUGAGACACGGCCCAGACUCCUACGGGAGGCAGCAGUAGGGAAUCUUCCGCAAUGGACGAAAGUCUGACGGAGCAACGCCGCGUGAGUGACGAAGGUUUUCGGAUCGUAAAACUCUGUUGUGAGGGAAGAACAAGUACCAACUAACUACUGGUACCUUGACGGUACCUCACCAGAAAGCCACGGCUAACUACGUGCCAGCAGCCGCGGUAAUACGUAGGUGGCAAGCGUUGUCCGGAAUUAUUGGGCGUAAAGCGCGCGCAGGCGGUCCCUUAAGUCUGAUGUGAAAGCCCACGGCUCAACCGUGGAGGGUCAUUGGAAACUGGGGGACUUGAGUGCAGAAGAGG
rnacentral:rRNA from 1 species